AACAACUGCAUUGGUUCCUCAAAAAAUUCCAGAAUAGGACAAGGCUAAGAAGCAGUCAGUGGGCUGAACCAGCUGUGACAGAAUGGCCUUUUUACUAACAGCAGCCUUGGUUUUCCAGACUUUACUGGGAAAUGCUGCUGAAGAAGGAUGGGAAUCAUAUCUCAAUUUUUCCGCUUGGAACCACACAUUUUAUUUCUAUGACAAUUACACAGAUUAUUAUUAUCCAGACGCCACAGUUGAUUAUGGUGAAUUCGAAACUUCAUCUGCAAAGAAUUUGACAGAGUCUGCAGGAUCAUCACUCCAGGGCCAUCUUCCCUUCUUCUUUGUCCUUCUCCAUCUUUUAUGUUUUUUGCUACAACGAUUCACACUUCUUUUGUAGAAGAUGUGAACAGCUUUGCUUUGAAUUAGAACAUUCCUCAAGGAGGAAAACAAAGAACUCUGUCACACAUGUAAAUUACUUCCCCUACAAUGAAUCAGUCAUCUUUUUUUAGUGCCGUUUAUGUAUUUAUGUAGAAACACAAACAAAUAUAACAGCGAUGUUUCCUCAUAAGUAGUAUAAAUUGCAUAAAUGUUGACUAGCUGUUUGUAUCUUCUGUAUUUCUUCCUCUCACAUUUCCUCACUAUCAUUCACUGGGUCCUAUUGUAAAUAUGAAAUAUGUGCCAACAAAAUGAAGCACUGGCUGAUCACUCCAGAUCUUUUAGUGCUAUCUGGUGUUCUGACAUCACUGGAUCAGCUGCUGCUAUCUCCCUGGAAUGCAAGCCCUUGGAUCUGCUCUUGAAUAGUUUCAGCUGCAUCCAGAAAAAGUCUGCCUUAUAGCAGUUGAAACAAACAAGAUAUAAAGGGGACUAUGGAGCAAGUGUACUUACCAGUUCACCUCCCCUAAAACAAUCACCAUUACAUUUAAAAUGGAUGUUGCCCGCUGGCCAUGUUUAUGUCUGUGUUCCUGUUCACUCUAGACAGAGUUUCAGGUCUCUGGCUUCCAAUGACCAUAGAUCCUGCAAACUCUCUCACAUGAGUAGUCCUGUAAGUAGGUAUGUCAGAAAGAGAGGGGGCUCAGAAACAGAUGACAAAUGAUUAGAUACUUCUGUAUGAGGAGAGACUGAAAAAAGUGGGACGGCUUUGGAGAGGAGAAGAAUAAGAAAGGACAUGAUUGAGACAUACAAAAUAAAAAAUGGUGGAGAAUCUCAUUCAGGCACUCCCAUGUACCCUCUCACAUAGCAUAAGAUCAAGGGAACAUUCAAGUGAAACUGAAAUGCAACAACUAUGUAACUGACAAAAGACAAUGCGUUCUUACACAAGGCCUAAUUAACAUGUGGAACUCAGUGCUGCAAGCUCUCUCAAGAGAUUCUCUCGUGUGUUGAUUGGCUGUCUGCUCCAACCCUUCCCACACUCCUCCCUUAGUCUCUCCAGACCCUGACUCCAGAAAAGAGGUUUGGGUCAAUAGGGCCUCACUGGUCAAUGACCUGGCCAUAAAUGGGGUAGAUGGAUGAAGAUUAAUUCAACCUCUUCCCCCUCCACCUAGGAUGCUGGGGUGGAGCCUCACUCAAGAGCUGCCCCUCAUUGCCUCUUUCUGACUCUCUUCUCAUCUGCUCUGUUCCCAUCACUCCUCUCUUUCCUUGUCUUUCCAUUUAGCUAAUCCCUGCUAAUUGAACACCCCCACUCUAAAACAAUAUUCAACUAAUUAACGCAAUGUUUCCCACAAUCACAUUGUUCAUACUGCUUCCAAGUUAUAUCCUUUCCCCCAGUUCUUAAUGUGUAAUGAAAGAGGUGCUGGGGCUCAAGCAAUUAGGUGCCAGGGCUCAAGCGAUAUUUUUACUUUCAUAACUGAUGUGGCAAGCCCAGAGGUGCUGGAGCUAUGAACUGCCAAGCCUAGAGGUGCCAGCGGGCUCAGCCCUGGCAAAAAUUAAGCACUGCUUUCCCCUAUCCCAUGUCUGUCUUGUCUAUUUAGUUUGUGAGCUCUUCAGGGCAGGGACUAUCUAUUACUUUGUGUUUGUACACAAUGGGACUCCAUUCUUGGCUGGUCCUUAGACUCUGCUGUAAUAAACAUGAUUAAUAAUAGUAUCACUGGGGUCAAGAGCUCAGUAGAGUUAAAAAAUGGAAAUGUGUUUGUAUAAUGAGGACAUCAACAGUUAUUUUACACAAAAUACUUUUUUGUUUGUUUGUUUUUAAAAGGAUAUAAAACCUCUUUCAGGCCAUAAACUCGCCACUAACAGACUGGAGUUGGGAAGAAAUUUCCCAUAUAGGAAGGUUAUUGCGUAACUGUCCAUAACAAUUUCUUGCUUCUUCCUUUGAAGCAUCUGAAACUGGUUACUGAUAGAGAUGGAAUACAAGUCUAGUCGGACUAUCAAUCGGAGCCAAUACGACAAUUCCUAUGCAAGUAAUGAUUUGCAGUAUUGGGCCCAUUUGUUUUAUUUCUAAUCAAGCAAAAAUAGUCUUGCCACAAUACAUAUCUGGCUUAUACAUCUGUGCGACAUAUGAAAAGAGGGGGUGUGGCGGGGUGAUGGCUCACCGGCGUGGCGCCUCCUGCUGGUUGUCCAUGGAAUUAGCUCUUUUCCAGCUCCCAAGCACCCUCUGCCAGCUGGUGUCUUGCCUGCCGCUGCCCCCGUAUGCUUUGCUUAGGGGUUCUGCCCACCACAGUACCCCCUCGCUCUGGGUCUCCCCUCCCCCUAUCCCCACCUUGCCUCAGUGGCUACUGCCAGUCUCCAUUUAGCCCCCGCUCACUGGGGC